CUACGGGGUGCUCCAGUGAGGAAUAUUACACAAUGGGGGGAACCCUGAUGCAGCAACGCCGCGUGGAGGAUGACGCAUUUCGGUGUGUAAACUCCUUUUAUAUGUCAAGAAAAUGACGGUAGCAUAUGAAUAAGCACCGGCUAACUCCGUGCCAGCAGCCGCGGUAAUACGGAGGGUGCAAGCGUUACUCGGAAUCACUGGGCGUAGAGGACGCGUAGGCGGGUUGGAAAGUCAGGUGUGAAAUCCUACAGCUUAACUGUAGAACUGCACUUGAAACUUCUAAUAUAGAGUAUGGGAGGGGGAGAUGGAAUUAGUGGUGUAGGGGUAAAAUCCGUAGAUAUCACUAGGAAUACCUAAAGCGAAGGCGAUCUCCUGGAACAUUACUGACGCUAAGGCGUGAAAGCGUGGGGAGCAAACAGGAUUAGAUACCCCGGUAGUC
rnacentral:rRNA from 1 species